AUUGAACGCUGGCGGCAUGCCUUACACAUGCAAGUCGAACGGCAGCACGGGUGCUUGCACCUGGUGGCGAGUGGCGAACGGGUGAGUAAUACAUCGGAACGUACCUUAUUGUGGGGGAUAACGCAGCGAAAGCUGUGCUAAUACCGCAUAAUCACGAAGGGGGAAGGCGGGGGACCGUAAGGCCUCGCGCAAUUAGAGCGGCCGAUACCUGAUUAGCUAGUUGGUGAGGUAAAGGCUCACCAAGGCAACGAUCAGUAGCUGGUCUGAGAGGACGAUCAGCCACACUGGGACUGAGACACGGCCCAGACUCCUACGGGAGGCAGCAGUGGGGAAUUUUGGACAAUGGGGGCAACCCUGAUCCAGCAAUGCCGCGUGAGUGAAGAAGGCCUUCGGGUUGUAAAGCUCUUUUGUCAGGGAAGAAACAGCAGCUCUAACACAGUAUGCGAAUGACGGUACCUGAAGAAUAAGCACCGGCUAACUUCGUGCCAGCCGCCGCAGUAA
rnacentral:rRNA from 1 species